UGCAGUCUGUGCAUCUCGACAACCGAAGGUUUAAAUAACCCUAACAAGUAUAUUAAAAGGGAUCCGGGCUCGCAUUACGGGUAUGCAGACCUCCCGCCACGCAGCGGAAGUUGGGAGCACAAAAUAAUGCGGACGGAACCCACCUGCGUAAGAGAGCAGGUUAUCUUCAGCCUUCGGCGGAUGUGCGGAUUUUAA
rnacentral:other from 2 species